rnacentral:misc_RNA from 1 species
UAUGACAGACAAGCAUAUGACUACUGGCAGGAUCAACCAGGUAGCACGUCCUCAUCGACGAGCCGACAUGGAGACUGGCACGCGCUAGCCAACUAGUGGCAUGAAGCGGCAAUCACCGAGCCGACUGUCGUACAUUGAGAGAGCUUUCAUUAGGGCCGCGACCGCAACGGGCCACGAGCCUUUAUCAUUUGCAACAUCCGAAACCAAUAGUGCGAGCGAGGUGGCCUUGGAAGCACCGGGCACGUAGGGCACCGACACCACGAGGCAACGCCGCACAAACUAUUAGGCCGCAGCGGAACUCCCUUGGGGGUCCACAGCGAGGCAACCGUGUAUGAAGCAAAACUUCCCGUAGUUUGGGUAGCAGCAUGCAAGCACUCGUCGAUGGAGCGGAAUGGUUAAGAACCGCAAGAAUGAUGGGACAUCGGCGCCAGCAGUCGGCCGCACAUCGGCGGGGGUCCUGCUGGCAGACACGAGUCCAAGACAACUCAUGCGCUCGCGUAGCCAACUGGCC